UUUUGACCAAGGCCGUAAAAGGAAUAAUUAAACACAUUUCUAUUUUUCUUUGUAUGUGUUAUGUGUCCCUGUGGGGUAUGACAUUGUCAGCUAAAAAGAUUGAAAGUUCUCUGGUGUCACUAUUUCUUUUUAUCCAGUUUCAGUGGCUUAAGGGAUAAUUACACUCUGGGACUUGCAUUUGGGAGAGCUUGUACUUUCUUGCCCUGUGUUAUUUGGAUGAAGUUAGAAUUAGAGAAGGUUGACGGAUGCUGAAAACUGAACUUUGCGACCUCGUCAAGAGCACCGCAAGCUGCCUCUGGAAAACUUCAUCUUACUUUCUCAUGCAGACCCACAAGGAAAAAAAAUAUAAGUGAGAUACACAGCAUGGAUGUCCAUCUGCUGCUCUGACCUGAAUCUGGGGUCCAUUCAGAAAGAACCUUGGCAAGGUCCAGGCUUCCAAGUGGACAGCACUGAAGUCUUUUGGAGACCAUUGGGAGCUAUGUGAGCUGCAGCUUGGACUGAGGAUAUUAACUGCACACAUGCAAAACAGUGACUGAAAAACUCUGAUAAACUGUAAUGAAUGCAAUAUGACACAAUUAUGAUAAAAUGAUGCUAAAAAGCAGUUAUAAAUGCUGUCCUUCAAGAGUGAAACAAACAGUUCAGUCACAAUUCAUCAGUUAUUCCUAGGAGACAUCUUAAAUUGGAUGUUUUGACAAAAUAUCAGCAGAAUGGUUAUUCUCAAUGACUAGA